AACUGGUUGAUCCUGCCAGUAGUCAUAUGCUUGUCUCAAAGAUUAAGCCAUGCACGUGUAAGUACAAGCGAUACCAGAAAGCGAAACUGCAAAAGGCUCAUUAGAUAAGUUACGGUCUCCUUGGCGGUUGAGAUUACUUGGAUAACUGUGAUAAUCCUAGAGCUAAUACAUGCACUGGAGCUCCGAUCCCGCGAGGGAGACGAGAGCUUUUAUUAGACCAAGACCAGCCGGCGUUCGCGCGGCAGCGAUUGGUGACUCUGUAUAACCUAGGGCGGAUCGCACGGGCUCGUCCCGGCGACGCGUCUUUCGAGUGUCUGCCUUAUCAACUGUCGAUGGUAGGUCAUGCGCUUACCAUGGUCGUGACGGGGAAUCAGGGUUCGAUUCCGGAGAGGGAGCUUGAGAAACGGCUACCUCAUCCAAGGAAGGCAGCAGGCACGCAAAUUACCCACUCCCGGCUCGGCGAGGUAGUGACGAAAAAGAACGAUACGGGACUCUUUCGAGACCCCGUAAUUGGAAUGAUCGCUAUGUAAAAAGUGUUCGAAAGGAACGAUUGGAGGGCAAGUCUGGUGUCAGCAGCUGCAAUAACUCCAGCUCCGAUAGCGUAAGCUAAAUUUGUUGCGGAUGAAAAGCUCGUAGUCGGAUCUCAGCCCGG
rnacentral:rRNA from 1 species